CCCGUUCGGGUCCGUGGUUGCGCCGGACCGUUUCCGGGCUCGGAGACGGUCUGGCUAGCCGAUGCCAGCCGCAGGCGAAACGGCCCACGUAAGGCGACUCUUGGUCGUCCGAUCACGGUGCGGCUUAGAGGUAAGUCCUGCCCUCUCGGAGGUCCAGAUGUCCUCUGCAAGAGGAGAAGGGCAGUAGUGGCGAGUGAGCUGCGAACCCCUCAGCAGGCGGAUGUGGGGACGAAGACCAGGUCGGCCGGACGGG
rnacentral:ncRNA from 18 species